UACGUAGGGUGCAAGCGUUGUCCGGAAUUAUUGGGCGUAAAGAGCUCGUAGGCGGUUUGUCGCGUCUGCUGUGAAAACCCGAGGCUCAACCUCGGGCCUGCAGUGGGUACGGGCAGACUAGAGUGCGGUAGGGGGAGAUUGGAAUUCCUGGUGUAGCGGUGGAAUGCGCAGAUAUCAGGAGGAACACCAAUGGCGAAGGCAGCUCGCUGGGACGGUACUGACGCUGAGAGACGAAAGCUAGGGGAGCGAAUGGG
rnacentral:rRNA from 1 species